AAAACGUAUUUGAGAUUUGCAGGGUACAAAUGGCGGAGACUAGCAAGUAACGAAAACAAAUAAUACCGUAAAAUACGGACGAAGUUUAAGAAUUUGGUAUCGAGUUCUUUAAAUGAAAAUACGGAUGAGUUCAGCCCGCUCACUGCGUUGUGAUAUUUGCACAAAAAAAGCGAGGAAGGGGAUGCGGGUAGGUGGAAGAAAAAAGAAAAAGACUAUUCCAAAGCAAGGGAAUAAGGAACGGAAGCUGAAACAAAAAGAAACGAAGGUUCCAGGAGUAUGUAAGGGGUUAAACUGUACAGACUGCAAUCACAGAAAAACCGUGGGAAUGGAUGGACGGGAUGAAAAAAUAAAAUAACAAUAUCCCUGACGAUAUCGAGAAAUAAGGAAACGAGAUUCGAUCUCUGCUUGGAGUUGAAAAAACGUGGAUUCAACGGAUCGACUUGGUAAACAAAGAUUUGCCAACAAAAUAAAAGAGCUUAGUCGCACAAAAAGAGUACUUGGAACAAGUAGGUACGUAUGAUACUAAGAAAAACUUAACUGUGAAUGAGGAAAAGGAGGUCUUCUUCAAUACGUUUCUCGAGUGUUAUAAGAAGAAGGAUGAAAUGAUGAGCCAAACGAUUGCUUGUUAUUUCUUUGAAUACACAAAGAAUGCAAACAAUGAGUUAGUGUCGUUCAACAAUAAUAACGCUAUAGCAAUAAGAAUAAGGUCACUGCAAACAAUCGCAAGUCACCUGGCACGAAAAUACACGAGACCGAAAAUGGCCUGAUACCGACUUUAAAAACAAAAAAAAAGAUCCGAUAUAUUGUAGAAAAUCAGCUGAAAAAUUCUCGCACCGUUGGGAAUUGCCGGAACGGUAUAUAUACUCUCACUUUUCUUUUAUAGCGUCAUUUCCAAACUUGCAUAUAGCGGAAAUCAUGUCAUGCUUCCGAAUCUGGGGAUAAGGUAACGGAAGCCAUGGUGCGGGACCCGCGUUUUCGUAUGUAUGGUUGAAACAAGAACGUUAUGUUAAAAUGUAAACAAAAAAUAAUAAUAGCAACGCUGGUCACCAAGCGUAAAUAUUAAGAGAAAGCGAUUGCGCAAAAAGUCAACCGUAUGAAACCAGGUUGAAAAGGAAAGUUUGCAUUGCUUUUCGAUAGCGACUAAUGUAAUCCGUACGACUCUAAUGAAUUUUUUAUACUCUUCCACUCUUACCCUUGUUUUAAGGUAUUGUAUGGUAAUAAAGUUCGUGCGACAUGUUAUAAUUAUUAAGUAAUAUUGUGAGCGCUUCCUUUGUGCGCGCUGAGCAUUUCUUGGAAUUUUGUUGAUCAAAUAUUGGCAUGGAAAGCGGUGGACAAAUCCAAAAUCCCCAAAAUAAAUACCUCAACGGAGUUCUCUAUCAAUGCGAAUUCUGCCAGAAAUUGAUCGGUCCUUUCUUAGGGGCGUAUAUACUUUCCGAACUUUCAUGGUUUCCUUUUCUUCCUAUUCGGCUCAAGUUUCAUCAUUUUUACUUGCGGUUCCAAAGGAUUUGCCAUCGAUGAACAGUACGCGCCAAUUUUUCAAUCGGUCUGUGAUUUACUAACGUCUUUUUCCAUGUUUUACCGCAUAUUUUAUUGAAUUAUCUAAGGAGGAAAAAUGCAAUUGAAUUUGCAGUCGACUUGGUGUUCACCGUAAUGUCUGAUAAUUUCAUGUCCGACAUAAAAAAAAAGAAAAGCUGUGUUUCAUUUUGAUCCGUUUAAUGCUUUAUUUUUUCAUUCCCUUUGCUUUUGCUACCGAAACUGUCGGCAAACACCACCGUUCAUUUCAUAUUCGUCAUUUACCGAAUUUUUUUUCAUCCCGCAAAUCGUCGAUCUCAUAAUUAUCGGGUAGCGUUUGAACGAUUAAAAACAUAUAAGCAUCAUCCCAAAUCGAUUUAAGCAUUAAACACUACACCCUAAUCUUGUCCUACAAACAUACUAUAAAAUCAAUGCGACAAUACAAACACUUUACAGUACAGUGACUUUUUGUGAGCUCGUCACAAUUCCCGCAGGCGGGCAUUACCCUCAUUUCUUCCCGAAUAUACUUUGAUUACACUAAUAACUAUUUACAAAUAAAUUGAUCAAAUUUCUUAUUGACCACAAAUUCUAAACAUGAAAACUUUAACGAAUGUAGUGAAAACAAGUAAAUGUACAUACCAAACAAAAGUGUAAAAUAAAAUAAAACAAAAAGUUCUUUUAAGGCCCAAUCAGUUAAAAUGGCACAGAACCAGAAGAUACAGUACAAGUUUCAU
rnacentral:lncRNA from 1 species